rnacentral:rRNA from 1 species
CACAGGAUGCACCGUAGUUUACUACACCGUAUCCUGUGAGUUGCGAACGGGUGAGUAACGCGUAGGUAACCUGCCUGGUAGCGGGGGAUAACUAUUGGAAACGAUAGCUAAUACCGCAUAAGAACAUUUACUGCAUGGUAGAUGUUUAAAAGGUGCAAGAGCAUCACUACCAGAUGGACCUGCGUUGUAUUAGCUAGUUGGUGAGGUAACGGCUCACCAAGGCAACGAUACAUAGCCGACCUGAGAGGGUGAUCGGCCACACUGGGACUGAGACACGGCCCAGACUCCUACGGGAGGCAGCAGUAGGGAAUCUUCGGCAAUGGGGGGAACCCUGACCGAGCAACGCCGCGUGAGUGAAGAAGGUUUUCGGAUCGUAAAGCUCUGUUGUUAAGGAAGAACGUGUGUGAGAGUGGAAAGUUCACACAGUGACGGUACUUAACCAGAAAGGGACGGCUAACUACGUGCCAGCAGCCGCGGUAAUACGUAGGUCCCGAGCGUUGUCCGGAUUUAUUGGGCGUAAAGCGAGCGCAGGCGGUUAGAUAAGUCUGAAGUGAAAGGCAGUGGCUCAACCAUUGUAGGCUUUGGAAACUGUUUAACUUGAGUGCAGAAGGGGAGAGUGGAAUUCCAUGUGUAGCGGUGAAAUGCGUAGAUAUAUGGAGGAACACCGGUGGCGAAAGCGGCUCUCUGGUCUGUAACUGACGCUG